AUUGAACGCUGGCGGCAUGCCUAACACAUGCAAGUCGAGCGAGCGGCGGACGGGUGAGUAAUGUAUGGGGACUGCCCGAUAGAGGGGGAUAACACCUGGAAACGGUAGCUAAUACCGCAUACUAUCGGAUACCGCAUAUGGGAUUAGCUAGGAGGUGAGGUAAUGGCUCACCUAGGCAACGAUCCCUAUCUGGGCUGAGAGGAUGAUCAGCCACACUGGGACUGAGACACGGCCCAGACUCCUACGGAGGCAGCAGUGGGGAAUAUUGCACAAUGGGCGCAAGCCUGAUGCAGCCAUGCCGCGUGUAUGAAGAAGGCCCUAGGGUUGUAAAGUACUUUCAGUAGGGAGGCGUUACCGACAGAAGAAGCACCGGCUAACUCCGUGCCAGCAGCCGCGGUAAUAC
rnacentral:rRNA from 1 species